AUUGAACGCUGGCGGCAGGCCUAACACAUGCAAGUCGAACGAGUGGCGGACGGGUGAGAAAUGUCUGGGAAACUGCACGAUGGAGGGGGAUAACUACUGGAAACGGUAGCUAAUACCGCAUACCAUCGGAUGUGCCCAUAUGGGAUUAGCUAGGAGGGGGGGUAAUGGCUCACCUAGGCGACGCUCCCUAGCUGGUCUGAGGGGAUGACCAGCCACACUGGAACUGAGACCCGGUCCAGACUCCUACGGGAGGCAGCAGUGGGGAAUAUUGCACAAUGGGCGCAAGCCUGAUGCAGCCAUGCCGCGUGUAUGAAGAAGGCCUGCGGGUUGUAAAGUACUUUCAGCGAGGAGGCGUUACUCGCAGAAGAAGCACCGGCUAACUCCGUGCCAGCAGCCGCGGUAAUUC
rnacentral:rRNA from 1 species